UUUCAUGUUUUAAGAAAUUAAAUUAUUGAUUUUAUUUAAUAAAAUUAAUUAAAUAAUGAGAGUUUUUACAACCACACGUAUAAUUAAAUAGACAUAUAAUUAAAUAGACAGUGGGCCUCUUAUUCCUCUAUAUAAACUCCACCUAAAACCCUAAAACUCCACCCGACUCUCACGGUUUCCUCUCAUCUUUCCUUUCUUUCUUGCCGCUUUCUUUUCAAAUUUUUUUUCCCAUAUUCUUCUUUUUUUUCUUUCCUUUAUUUUCCUUUCUACCUAUCCAUAUUCUUGUUUUCUGCUUCUGAUACAAUAGCUAGGAACACCAUUGUGGAGGAAAGGAGAUGCUUAAAUUAGACAAUGAGUUUUUCAUCCAUAACGGUAACAUCAUCAACAAGGGAUGACGCUGCUAAUCAAGUCAACCAUCUUAUAUCUUUCACAGCAAAAACAUUACAAUAGAUCAAACAUGAGAGGCGAGAAGUUUUAUUAUUUUACAGGAUUUAGCGGCGACUGCUGGAGAAAUUGCCGGCAGAUUUAGCGGCGACGGUCGAUUUUCGUGAUCCAUUUAGAGGUUCUGUAAGUUGGAAAAAUCAGCGGUGUUCCUGUGAUUGUUGAAUUUCGGAGGGUUUAAGAAGAGGUUGUUAGCAGAUGAUUUGUUCCUUGGAAAGGUUUGAAAAGGUUGUAUAGGUAAAUUCAUUUGGUAUCCAUAUGGCAUAUAAUUCAAUGUAUUCUGAUAAGAGAGAUUAUGGGUCAAUUUUAGAUGCAUUCAACUAAGAUGCUUGAAUCUUACAAUAUGCAAUUUCUGAUUUAUGCAUAAAACCUUAGAUGUUCCCAAUGUUCCCAAAGCUUAAAUAUCAUCUAUUCAACGCGUGCAUUCACAAAGCAUGGAUUUAGUAACUUUUACGAGUCAAAGAA